ensembl:lncRNA
GGGGGGAGGGACAGUAAUGACUACAGCUUUGCAGAUAGGAAGCCAAUCCUAAUUUCUAAAUGUUCUCACAGCUCUCUCUUUCUCUCUCUCUGUGUGUGAUUGAUCCUUAUGUGUGUCAUCUCUGCGCCGGCUGUCAUUCCUGAAAUACCUCCCUGUCAACCGUUCCCGUCAGGUUCCUGCAGUGGAGGGGGGCAGGUGAAGAGGAAGGAGCUGAGACAGCGGACUAAUGAGGCUGAUUUACAGCCCUCUGUCUGGCUUCCCCUGCCAGGCCCCGCCCCGCCCUGCACAAAUCCAGGUCACUGCACUGAUGGAGAGGAAAUGGGAAGCUAAUUAGAUAAUGGGAGGUGAAAAUGGGAAAGAGGGCCGACUGGAAGGUGCAUAUUUAAUAAGUGCCUGAAGCAAGGCUGGGCGUAUGGGGCGAGGGCCCUGGGAGAGCGGCGUGACAAAAGGCAAGAGGAGGGGACGUCAAGGCCCACAGACGGGAACUGGGCCGCUAACAGAUUGUGCCAGCCUUUGAGUGGGGGCCUGUGACAAGGGGUUUAAGGGGGC